GAUGAACGCUAGCGAUAGGCUUAACACAUGCAAGUCGAGGGGCAGCAUGGUCUUAGCUUGCUAAGACUGAUGGCGACCGGCGCACGGGUGCGUAACGCGUAUGCAACUUGCCUCACAGAGGGGGAUAACCCGUCGAAAGACGGACUAAUACCGCGUACACUCCAUCUUGGGCAUCCAAGGUAGAGGAAAUGAAAUUCGCUGUGAGAUAGGCAUGCGUCCCAUUAGCUAGUUGGUGAGGUAACGGCUCACCAAGGCGACGAUGGGUAGGGGAACUGAGAGGUUGAACCCCCACACUGGUACUGAGACACGGACCAGACUCCUACGGGAGGCAGCAGUGAGGAAUAUUGGUCAAUGGGCGAGAGCCUGAACCAGCCAAGUCGCGUGAAGGAUGACUGUCUUAUGGAUUGCAAACUUCUUUUAUACGGGAAUAACAAGAGUCACGUGUGACUCCCUGCAUGUACCGUAUGAAUAAGCAUCGGCUAACUCCGUG
rnacentral:rRNA from 1 species